UCCCACGUAGUCUAGUAGCUAGGAUACCUGGCUCUCACCCAGGAGACCCGUGUUCGAUUCCCGGCAUGGUAC